UACGUAGGUGGCAAGCGUUGUCCGGAUUUACUGGGCGUAAAGGGUGCGUAGGUGGUGAGGUAAGUCGGAUGUGAAAUCUCCGAGCUCAACUCGGAAAUGGCAUUGGAAACUACCUUGCUUGAGGGUUGGAGGGGGGACUGGAAUGACUUGGUGUAGCAGUGAAAUGCGUAGAUAUCAAGUGGAACACCAGUGGCGAAGGCGAGUCCCUGGACAACUCCUGACACUGAGGCACGAAAGCGUGGGGAGCAAACAGG
rnacentral:rRNA from 1 species